UACGAAGGGGGCAAGCGUUGUUCGGAAUUACUGGGCGUAAAGGGCGCGUAGGCGGCUUAUCAAGUCAGGCGUGAAAUUCCCGGGCUCAACCUGGGGGCUGCGCUUGAUACUGAUUGGCUUGAAUGCGGGAGAGGAUAGUGGAAUUCCCAGUGUAGAGGUGAAAUUCGUAGAUAUUCGGAAGAACACCAGUGGCGAAGGCGACUCACUGGACAUGUAUUGACGCUGAGGUGCGAAAGCGUGGGGAGCAAACAGG
rnacentral:rRNA from 1 species